rnacentral:rRNA from 1 species
GUGGGGAAUUUUGGACAAUGGGGGCAACCCUGAUCCAGCCAUGCCGCGUGCGGGAAGAAGGCCUUCGGGUUGUAAACCGCUUUCGGCCGGGAAGAAAUCGCCAUGCCUAACACGCGUGGUGGAUGACGGUACCGGAAGAAGAAGCACCGGCUAACUACGUGCCAGCAGCCGCGGUAAUACGUAGGGUGCGAGCGUUAAUCGGAAUUACUGGGCGUAAAGCGUGCGCAGGCGGAUGUUUAAGUCAGACGUGAAAUCCCCGGGCUUAACCUGGGAAUGGCGUUUGAAACUGGACGUCUAGAGUGCGGCAGAGGGAGGUGGAAUUCCACGUGUAGCAGUGAAAUGCGUAGAGAUGUGGAGGAACACCGAUGGCGAAGGCAGCCUCCUGGGCUGACACUGACGCUCAUGCACGAAAGCGUGGGGAGCAAACAGGAUUAGAAACCCCAGUAGUCC